AUUGAACGCUGGCGGCAUGCUUUACACAUGCAAGUCGAACGAGUGGCGCACGGGUGAGUCAUACGUCGGAACGUGUCCUAUCGUGGGGGAUAACUGAUCGAAAGAUCAGCUAAUACCCCAUACGCUUGGGGCGGCCCAUGCCCGAUUGGCUCGUUGGUGAGGUAAAGGCUCACCAAGGCGACGAUCGUUAGCUGGGCUGAGAGGACGACCAGCCACACGGGGACGGAGACACGGCCCAGACUCCUACGGGAGGCAGCAGUGGGGAAUUUUGGACAAUGGGGGCAACCCUGAUCCAGCCAUGCCGCGUGCAGGAUGAAGGGCUUCGGAUUGUAAACUGCUUUUGUCAGGGAAGCGGUACCUGAAGAAUAAGCACCGGCUAACUACGUGCCAGCAGCCGCGGUAAUUC
rnacentral:rRNA from 1 species